rnacentral:rRNA from 1 species
AACGAACGCUGGCGGCAUGCCUAACACAUGCAAGUCGAACGAGACCUUCGGGUCUAGUGGCGCACGGGUGCGUAACGCGUGGGAGUCUGCCCAAAGGUUCGGAAUAACUCGGGGAAACCCGAGCUAAUACCGGAUAAUGUCUUCGGACCAAAGAUUUAUCGCCUUUGGAUGAGCCCGCGUCGGAUUAGCUUGUUGGUGAGGUAAAGGCUCACCAAGGCGACGAUCCGUAGCUGGUCUGAGAGGAUGAUCAGCCACACUGGGACUGAGACACGGCCCAGACUCCUACGGGAGGCAGCAGUGGGGAAUAUUGGACAAUGGGCGCAAGCCUGAUCCAGCAAUGCCGCGUGAGUGAUGAAGGCCUUAGGGUUGUAAAGCUCUUUUACCCGGGAUGAUAAUGACAGUACCGGUAGAAUAAGCCCCGGCUAACUCCGUGCCAGCAGCCGCGGUAAUACGGAGGGGGCUAGGCGUUGUUCGGAAUUACUGGGCGUAAAGCGCGCGUAGGCGGCUUCG